rnacentral:rRNA from 1 species
GACGAACGCUGGCGGCGUGCUUAACACAUGCAAGUCGAACGGAAAGGCCCAGCUUGCUGGGUACUCGAGUGGCGAACGGGUGAGUAACACGUGGGUGAUCUGCCCUGCACUCUGGGAUAAGCCUGGGAAACUGGGUCUAAUACCGGAUAUGACCAACUGUCGCAUGGUGGUUGGUGGAAAGCUUUUGCGGUGUGGGAUGGGCCCGCGGCCUAUCAGCUUGUUGGUGGGGUAAUGGCCUACCAAGGCGACGACGGGUAGCCGACCUGAGAGGGUGAUCGGCCACACUGGGACUGAGACACGGCCCAGACUCCUACGGGAGGCAGUAGUGGGGAAUAUUGCACAAUGGGCGCAAGCCUGAUGCAGCGACGCCGCGUGAGGGAUGACGGCCUUCGGGUUGUAAACCUCUUUCACCAGGGACGAAGCGUGAGUGACGGUACCUGGAGAAGAAGCACCGGCCAACUACGUG